ACUCCUACGGGAGGCAGCAGUGAGGAAUAUUGGUCAAUGGAGGGAACUCUGAACCAGCCAUCCCGCGUGUAGGAAGACGGCCUUAUGGGUUGUAAACUACUUUUAUACAGGAAGAAACGUACCCUCGUGAGGGUGCCUGACGGUACUGUAGGAAUAAGCACCGGCUAACUCCGUGCCAGCAGCCGCGGUAAUACGGAGGGGUUAGCGUUGUUCGGAAUUACUGGGCGUAAAGCGCACGUAGGCGGAUCGGAAAGUUGGGGUGAAAUCCCGGGCUCAACCCGGAACGGCCUCCAAACUAAUCGGUCUAGAGUUCGAGAGAGGUGAGUGGAAUUCCGAGUGUAGAGGUGAAAUUCGUAGAUAUUCGGAGGAACACCAGUGGCGAAGGCGGCUCACUGGCUCGAUACUGACGCUGAGGUGCGAAAGUGUGGGGGAGCAAACAGGAUUAGAUACCCGGGAGGCUCU
rnacentral:rRNA from 1 species